rnacentral:misc_RNA from 1 species
UUGAUUUUAAGAAGAUGUGCUGGCUCUUGCAUGUGCACUCUUCAACAAAACCAAUAUCCACCUGUGCACACUCUGUAGGUGAAGGGUUGCAAAACUCUAAGCCUAUGUCUCUUUACAAACAACCAUUGAUGUAUCUGAAUGUCAUUGAAUAACCAAUUGUAAUA